rnacentral:rRNA from 1 species
UACGUAGGGCGCAAGCGUUGUCCGGAAUUAUUGGGCGUAAAGAGCUCGUAGGCGGUUUGUCGCGUCUGCUGUGAAAACCUAAGGCUCAACCUUGGGCUUGCAGUGGGUACGGGCAGACUAGAGUGCGGUAGGGGUGACUGGAAUUCCUGGUGUAGCGGUGGAAUGCGCAGAUAUCAGGAGGAACACCGGUGGCGAAGGCGGGUCUCCGGGCCGAUACUGACGCUGAGGAGCGAAAGCGUGGGGAGCAAACAGG